CAAGUGAGGGUUUAAAAAUUUUAUAUACAAUUCAAACCAAAUGCUUUAUUUAUUUUUAAUCUGUUGUUUUGGGGUAGCAAUUCUAGGAGAAAUAUUGCUGUGCAUAUAUAAAUAUGAAUGCUUCUGAGCCAGUUUUAGAGGCAUAUAACUGGAGACGAAAGGCACCAACUUAAGCAAUCCCUUUUUUUUUUCUGAUACUACUAUUCAUGAAUGUUGGUUCUGACUGUAUAUUAUCCAUAUAGUAGAUAUUUUUAAUCAAGUUUUAUAUUAGUAGUGAAAAUAUGAACAUUAAGAGUUCUUGAAAAUCACGAGCUGAAUGUAUUGUUUCUGAUUCUUUCAAAUGCAUAUGCUCAAGACAGGGAAGGAUGAGUGAAUUUAUUUUUUAUUUUUCCUUUAGGCAAAAAUCCCUUUCAUGACCAAGGAAGGAGACAAAAACAUUUUUACAGUCCUGAGAAGUGCCUGUUACUAGAAAUGAUUUUCACUUUGUUCCUGAAAAGUAUGCCAAGUUUACUGGUGUUUGCUGGUGAUGUUACAAAGAGAAGCAGGCCUGGCAAGAGGGAGCAUGAGCUUUCCAGUGGAACAUGUGACAGCAGGGACCUGCUCCAGGAGUCUCAACUGGGGCAUCUCGGAAUGGGAAACUCUAGACUGGUGACUGAAAUUGUUUAGAAAAUCCUAAUUAUGUGUGUGAGUUGCUGUAUGUAUAAGCCUGUGCCAGACUCAUUCAGACUUGGUACUCUGAACAGACAAAGGUAAUCUAAGAUCAGGUAAUCUCUAAAAAUGCUGUGGGUUCACACUACCUCAUUUCAGAGAGCAAGCUCGUCUUUCUAAAUUUAAAAAAAAUGUCCCUGAUGUCAAGAAGGACUUAUACUGGGAACAUAAGAGGAAUGUAGCUGGUUUAUAUUCACACUAGCUGGGCUAGUUCCCUCUAGAGCAGACUCCUGUAUUCACAUACCACAGAGCUCCUUGGACUCCUUCUGGUGCCCCUCUAGAGCCAACAUGCAAUUCUGAUUUUUCUGUGUUAUCUUCCAGUUUGAAGUUUGUGAAAUGGUGUGAAACUGCCCUGCAGGCUGUGAGAAGAGUGCUUUCCUAGCAGCAGAGGGAGGGUAUGUGCUGCACGUUCUGGGAUGCAGUAGCUUUGAGGGCACAGCCAGCUUGGGUGGUUUAGAAGAGCACAUCUUGUGAAGUCAAGCAAGAUGUGACCUUGGGAGAGGUGCUUGGUGCUGUCCCUGCAGCAGUGGGAAGCCAUUGCUUUCAGGAGAGCUUCUGGAGGUGUGGGAGCAGCAGCAGGGGCCUGAGCUUUGCUCCCGGACUGCCACAGUGACAACGUGCCCCGAGGGAUCCUGAAUGUCUCUGAACGUCUCUGCUGCCGGUGCCACCCCGGUGUGGUAACGCCCAGGGUCCUGGCUUCACCUGCCAGAGUGACACAGGUAUUUUCACUGCAGAAUAAAUGCAGCACUGGUAAAGAAACACAAGGCUUUUCCUGCAUCAUUUCCACAAAGUCAUGAGUUAAAAUCUUGGUCUUUUUGAAACAAAACACUGACCCAGUUCUAACAAUUCAAGCUUUUGUCCCUGGACUGGACAAGGCCUGGCUAGGCACUGUGAAGGUACUAACCACUGCUGCUCUUCUCUUCACAGCCCAUGGUGUCACCUUGCAGCCUCUCUGGGUUCACUUCAAAUCUUUCUCAAACAGAUAUGGCCAUAAAAAGCCAGUGAAUUGUAACCCCAUGCACCCAAAACUAGAGCGUGUUUCUUUCAGUAUUUUAAUACAAAUAUAUGUUCUAGAAAGGCAAUUUCUCUGUAAUUUUUCUCUGCUUAUGAGGAAUUUUCCAUGAAUUUUAUUUGCUCUGUGCUUCUACUCUGGAUAGGAAAUCCUUUUUUCUUAAUCUAGUUCUAAAUUUUGUGGAACUCGCCACUACUCUAUUACUCUAUCACUAAUGCCAGGGUUUUAACUGUAGGAAAAAUGGCAUGGGGGAAAGGGAAUUCUAUAAACACCUAUUCUUGGAAAAUAACAAAUGAACCUGUACUGAAGCCAGUCAGUAUUAAAAAUUACAAAAUAAAAUUUAAAAAGGAUAUGAAGCCUUAUGCUACUUAUACCAACCAAACAAAUGCUAACUAAUUAAGGGUCAAGGAAAUAUUUUUCCUAGCAUUUGUUUAUUAUUCAAUAAAAAUCAUCAGUUUGUCUUAACUAAAGCAAAGGUGAAGAGCACUCCUGCAGCACAGCUCUAAUGCAGUGUAACUCCUACAGAAGCUGGCUUCAGAAAAACAGUACUUAGCAUAUUAUUUGUUUAAACAAAUCAAACCCAUUUGAAUGAGCAACUAGCAGUGUUUAAGACAAGAAAUCUCAGCAGUGUUUAAAAAACUUGGUGCUAAUGACUAGGAUUGUUUAAGAAACACUAAUCUUUGCAUGAAACUAUUAAGCUCUGUUUUGUUACCAUUAGUGAGUAGGAAAUACAUGUUUGUACAGGAGGGUCAUGCUUCAAUAGUUUAAUCUUUUACUUAGGUUAAUUUUUAUUCAACAUCGUAAUGGCUUAGUGCACUAACUUUUCACUGUUCUUUUAAUUUUUCUCUGUAACUUUCAUGGUCAACAUUUUAUUAGUUUUACCAGAAGAGAUGCUAAAAACCAGUUAUUGCAGAAUUUUUUAAAUAAUCUCAUAUUUUGCUGGUAGGGGGAUAAAUGAUGGUAGUUGGACUAAAUGAACCAUACCAAAAACUGGUCUUAUUUAAAAGGUAAACUGCCUCUGACCUGACACUGUUUUUCAUCUUGACAAGCAGUAAAGCUGAAUAUAAGCACAACUUUUUCCUGUAUUUAUGUUUCAUAAAGACCAGUUGGCAAAGCUUCUUAGUUCUAGUGGCUGUGCCAGCAUCUCGUGUUGUCUCUACACAACGAAAAACUUUGUGAUACAUACACCUACAUCAUGACCUUUAAUAAAGUGGCAUGCCAGGCCAUAAACUUCUACUCCUCCAGAAGCCAGGAGAUGCAAAAUUGCUGACCAAACAUGCUGCUUCCACAUACCUCAUGCAGCUUCCACAUACCUCCCACUGUCUGAUCUGCAGUGUUCCAACAGCUGUAGUUAUGCACAGUGGAACUAAAAUUCUGUAUUAACUGUAUUUACAGUUUCAGAUAAUUCCAUGCAAAUUGCCCAGUAAGUCAUAAUUUAUCAUGUUUGUGUUUGUAGAACUACCUAAAGAUAACAGUUGAAAUAAUAGACUCAUUUCAUAAGAGGUAUUAGAAAGAGAUAUAAAUAAAUAUCUUAUUUCUCCAAACAGCUGAUUAUUUUUAGCAUUACAGGGUUGAUUAAAUACAAGGUGAGAUUAAAAUCCCCUACCAAGUGUACAUUUACAAAUUAAAUGUGUGUGAAUUACUCUGUGUAGAAAACUAAGAGCUCCUAUAUACAGACUAUGUACUAUUGAAGGCUAGCAGAAACACCAAGAAUGGCUUUAUGUGAAUUUUAAGAGUAUUUUGCAUAGUUGUGCUCCUAAAUUUAAAAAAAUAAUAAAAAAGAGGCCCCAAUAUUGAUAAAAAAAUCUCAUCUUCAUCCUCCCUUCACAGAAGAGAAAAAAAUGCAUCUUCAGAGGACAAUUAUGUGAUUUAUUCUAGAUAAUAAAAUGUUAAAAUAAGAUCAA